rnacentral:rRNA from 1 species
UACGUAGGGUGCAAGCGUUGUCCGGAAUUAUUGGGCGUAAAGAGCUCGUAGGCGGUUCGUCGCGUCGGCUGUGAAAUCCCGAGGCUCAACCUCGGGUCUGCAGUCGAUACGGGCGGACUGGAGUUCGGCAGGGGAGACUGGGAUUCCUGGUGUAGCGGUGAAAUGCGCAGAUAUCAGGAGGAACACCGGUGGCGAAGGCGGUUCUCUGGGCAUUACCUGACGCUGAGGAGCGAAAGUGUGGGGAGCGAACAGG